rnacentral:pre_miRNA from 1 species
CAACUACUCCCUCUGUCCCAAAUUUCUUGUCUUAGAUUUUUCUAGAUACAGAUGUAUCUAAUACUAAAAUGUGACUUGAUACAUCCGUAUCUAGACAAAUCUAAAACAAGAAUUUUGGGACGGAGGGAGUACUUU